GCUUUAGUAACACGAAGUUGUAAGAUUUGGGUAUGUUGUGGUAAGAAUUACAACAAAGUCAACGACAAAACAAAACCAAACUACGCAAUAAUCAAAACAUUCCCAAAUCUCACAACUUCCUAUCAUUAAGGAAACAAAUGGUCCGUAUUUCAGAAUCAAAGCAAACCAAAAAAAAGAAAGGGAAAAAAUUACAAAAAAAAUUCAAACAAAAAUUGAAAAGAGGAGAGCUCAAUUAUUGUAUAUAAAAAUAGCAAUGUAAACAGAGGACUAGAUUGGGAAACCUGGAACGAACAGAAGAGAGCUUUAAAAACAAAAACUAGUUUGAACGGUUGUGAUCAAAUGGUACAAUCCCCACCGUAAGUUUUUUCCUCUCCAUAGGGAUUACAAGAGAGGCAAAGCCCAAAUCAGUUACUACUUACUGCUACAACCAUCGUCUCAGCUUUCUUGUCUCAGCUUUUUACUAAUGAAGCAAUACAUGUCUUUGCCCUGUCACAUCUCGCCAUCUGUCCACUACUCUCUUCUCUUAUUGGCUCCCCCUCCUCCGUAGCCCUUCUGUUAAUAGCUCUCUCUCUCUAAAACUCUUAACAGUCUCUUCUCUUCUUUCUCAUUAUUUCG
rnacentral:lncRNA from 1 species